rnacentral:rRNA from 1 species
CCCUGGCUCAGAUUGAACGCUGGCGGCAGGCCUAACACAUGCAAGUCGAGCGGUAGAGAGAAGCUUGCUUCUCUUGAGAGCGGCGGACGGGUGAGUAAUGCCUAGGAAUCUGCCUGGUAGUGGGGGAUAACGCUCGGAAACGGACGCUAAUACCGCAUACGUCCUACGGGAGAAAGCAGGGGACCUUCGGGCCUUGCGCUAUCAGAUGAGCCUAGGUCGGAUUAGCUAGUUGGUGAGGUAAUGGCUCACCAAGGCGACGAUCCGUAACUGGUCUGAGAGGAUGAUCAGUCACACUGGAACUGAGACACGGUCCAGACUCCUACGGGAGGCAGCAGUGGGGAAUAUUGGACAAUGGGCGAAAGCCUGAUCCAGCCAUGCCGCGUGUGUGAAGAAGGUCUUCGGAUUGUAAAGCACUUUAAGUUGGGAGGAAGGGCAGUAAAUUAAUACUUUGCUGUUUUGACGUUACCGACAGAAUAAGCACCGGCU